GAUGAACGCUGGCGGCGUGCCUAAUACAUGCAAGUCGAGCGAACGGACGAGGAGCUUGCUUUUCUGAUGUUAGCGGCGGACGGGUGAGUAACACGUGGAUAACCUACCUAUAAGACUGGGAUAACUUCGGGAAACCGGAGCUAAUACCGGAUAAUAUUUUGAACCGCAUGGUUCAAAAGUGAAAGACGGUCUUGCUGUCACUUAUAGAUGGAUCCGCGCUGCAUUAGCUAGUUGGUAAGGUAACGGCUUACCAAGGCAACGAUGCAUAGCCGACCUGAGAGGGUGAUCGGCCACACUGGAACUGAGACACGGUCCAGACUCCUACGGGAGGCAGCAGUGGGGAAUCUUCCGCAAUGGGCGAAAGCCUGACGGAGCAACGCCGCGUGAGUGAUGAAGGUCUUCGGAUCGUAAAACUCUGUUAUUAGGGAAGAACAUAUGUGUAAGUAACUGUGCACAUCUUGACGGUACCUAAUCAGAAAGCCACGGCUAACUACGUG
rnacentral:rRNA from 1 species